CUACGGGAGGCACCAGUGAGGAAUAUUGCACAAUGGGGGGAACCCUGAUGCAGCAACGCCGCGUGGAGGAUGACGCAUUUCGGUGUGUAAACUCCUUUUAUAUGUCAAGAAAAUGACGGUAGCAUAUGAAUAAGCACCGGCUAACUCCGUGCCAGCAGCCGCGGUAAUACGGAGGGUGCAAGCGUUACUCGGAAUCACUGGGCGUAAAGGACGCGUAGGCGGGUUGGAAAGUCAGGUGUGAAAUCCUACAGCUUAACUGUAGAACUGCACUUGAAACUUCUAAUCUAGAGUAUGGGAGGGGGAGAUGGAAUUCGUGGUGUAGGGGUAAAAUCCGUAGAUAUUACUAGGAAUACCUAAAGCGAAGGCGAUCUCCUGGAACAUUACUGACGCUAAGGCGUGAAAGCGUGGGGAGCAAACAGGAUUAGAUACCCCAGUAGUC
rnacentral:rRNA from 1 species